UACAGAGGAUGCAAGCGUUAUCCGGAAUGAUUGGGCGUAAAGCGUCUGUAGGUGGCUUUUUAAGUCCGCCGUCAAAUCCCAGGGCUCAACUCUGGACAGGCGGUGGAAACUACCAAGCUGGAGUACGGUAGGGGCAGAGGGAAUUCCCGGUGGAGCGGUGAAAUGCGUAGAGAUGUGGAGGAACACCGAUGGCGAAGGCAGCCUCCUGGGUCAAUAUUGACGCUCAGGCACGAAAGCGUGGGGAGCAAACAGG
rnacentral:rRNA from 1 species